AUGAAAUAUGGUAUGAAAAACCUCGAUGAAAAUGGUAAUAGUAGUGCAAUCAGCAGCCAGAAAGCACAAAAACACCUUGAUGAUUAUUCUACUUGUAUGAACGAAGCAUAUCCUGAGAAUUGGCAGGACAUGGAUUUGGAUGAAAGGGUCUUGUACAACACAUCAGGUGGCAUGCCUCAUGGCCGUGUAGCAAUUGCAUCUGGUGUUGUCAAGAAAGUUGUUGUUCUUUCCGCUGCUAGGGCAACAAAUCCGAAAUCAUCUAUUUCCAUUUCUUACAGGAAUGCUAUCCAAGAGAGUGAAUAA
rnacentral:rRNA from 1 species